rnacentral:rRNA from 1 species
UACGGAGGGGGCGAGCGUUGUUCGGAAUUACUGGGCGUAAAGGGCGCGUAGGCGGCCAACUAAGUCCGACGUGAAAUCCCCAGGCUCAACCUGGGAACUGCGUCUGAUACUGGAUGGCUUGAAUCCGGGAGAGGGAUGCAGAAUUCCAGGUGUAGCGGUGAAAUGCGUAGAUAUCUGGAGGAACACCGGUGGCGAAGGCGCACAUCUGGCCCGAUACUGACGCUGAGGCGCGAAAGCUUGGGGAGCAAACGGG